rnacentral:rRNA from 1 species
UGAACGCUGGCGGCGUGCUUAACACAUGCAAGUCGAGCGAUGAAGUUUCCUUCGGGAAACGGAUUAGCGGCGGACGGGUGAGUAACACGUGGGUAACCUGCCUCAUAGAGUGGAAUAGCCUUCCGAAAGGAAGAUUAAUACCGCAUAAUGUUGAAAGAUGGCAUCAUCAUUCAACCAAAGGAGCAAUCCGCUAUGAGAUGGACCCGCGGCGCAUUAGCUAGUUGGUGGGGUAACGGCCUACCAAGGCGACGAUGCGUAGCCGACCUGAGAGGGUGAUCGGCCACAUUGGGACUGAGACACGGCCCAGACUCCUACGGGAGGCAGCAGUGGGGAAUAUUGCACAAUGGGGGAAACCCUGAUGCAGCAACGCCGCGUGAGUGAUGAAGGUUUUCGGAUCGUAAAGCUCUGUCUUUGGGAAAGAUAAUGACGGUACCCAAGGAGGAAGCCACGGCUAACUACGUGCCAGCAGCCGCGGUAAUACGUAGGUGGCGAGCGUUAUCCGGAUUUACUGGGCGUAAAGGGAGCGUAGGCGGAUGAUUAAGUGGGAUGUGAAAUACCCGGGCUCAACUUGGGUGCUGCAUUCCAAACUGGUUAUCUAGAGUGCAGGAGAGGAGAGUGGAAUUCCUAGUGUAGCGGUGAAAUGCGUAGAGAUUAGGAAGAACACCAGUGGCGAAGGCGACUCUCUGGACUGUAACUGACGCUGAGGCUCGAAAGCGUGGGGAGCAAACAGGAUUAGAUACCCUGGUAGUCCACGCUGUAAACGAUGAAUACUAGGUGUGGGGGUUUCAACACCUCCGUGCCGCCGCUAACGCAUUAAGUAUUCCGCCUGGGGAGUACGGUCGCAAGAUUAAAACUCAAAGGAAUUGACGGGGACCCGCACAAGUAGCGGAGCAUGUGGUUUAAUUCGAAGCAACGCGAAGAACCUUACCUACACUUGACAUCCCUUGCAUUACUCUUAAUCGAGGAAAUCCCUUCGGGGACAAGGUGACAGGUGGUGCAUGGUUGUCGUCAGCUCGUGUCGUGAGAUGUUGGGUUAAGUCCCGCAACGAGCGCAACCCUUGUCGUUAGUUACUACCAUUAAGUUGAGGACUCUAGCGAGACUGCCUGGGUUAACCAGGAGGAAGGUGGGGAUGACGUCAAAUCAUCAUGCCCCUUAUGUGUAGGGCUACACACGUGCUACAAUGGCUGGUACAGAGAGAUGCAAUACCGCGAGGUGGAGCCAAACUUAAAAACCAGUCUCAGUUCGGAUUGUAGGCUGAAACUCGCCUACAUGAAGCUGGAGUUACUAGUAAUCGCGAAUCAGAAUGUCGCGGUGAAUACGUUCCCGGGUCUUGUACACACCGCCCGUCACACCAUGAGAGUUGGCAAUACCCGAAGUCCGUGAGCUAACCGCAAGGAGGCAGCGGCCGAAGGUAGGGUCAGCA